AAACAGUUGUGCAUCUGCCCGGUUACUGUACCGGCUUAGCCAAGGCAACAUCACGUCGACCUUCACUGGCGUGGAAGAGGCCGGCGCCCCCGUACCCCCGGCUCCGCCAGCAGGUGUAGACUUUCCCUGCUUGAAGCACAUAUUGAGGUCGUGGGCUCCCCCGCAGCCGGAACAUUCGUGCCGAAAUUUAAACGCAGCACCCCACUUGCAUUACCCUUCAUUGAACGACCAACAGAAC